AAUCAUAAAUGCGGUAGUAAGUGGUCCGAUAUGUCAAAAAAAGAAAAAACUCUCUCGAGGUUGCCCUAGCCGUCCAAAAACGUCAUCUCCGUUUUGCCCUCUCCGGCUUCCGGUGCUCCUCGCCGGAGCUGUGAGAGGGCCAUAGGUUCUCGUUCUAGCUUUGUCUUCUUUGUGUAGUUGCCCUUUGAGUCUCCUCUCCGCUAAUCUGAGAUAUCUUCUGAUGAAAAGAAGAGUGUUGGCGCGUAGAGGUCGGAUCCAUGUUUUGCGUUUCAGAUCUGAGUAGUCAAGAGGAAUUGAUGAGCAUCGAGGGGCUUUGGACUGCUUUCGCUUCAGGUUCUCAUUUUUAUGCUUCAGAUCUACCUUUGGUUCUUCAUGAGGGUUUUGGCUCUCUGUCUCCGGAGGUUAAGGUGUUGUCUUGGAAAGUCGUGUUCACGACGGUUUCUCAAUCCGGUUUCUGGGUUCUGGUUGGUUUGGCUUUGGUUUUUCGUGGUUCUUUCCGAUUCUUAUCCAGGCGGUGUGAGCUUUGUUAUGAGUUUGGUCUUCCUUCAGUCCCCUUCAAUAAUUUGACAUUUGGUGUUUUAUCUCUACCUGCUCCCAUUUGAGCUAGUCCCUUCUUUGCCUCUCUUCUUGUGCUUGAUGAUAUCUUCUAUUUGGAGUUGAUACUAAGGUUUUUAAUCUUUUUUUGGUUGAAUUUGAUGUAAGGUUUCCUUUCCUUUGGACUUUUAGUUUCCUUUUAACUUAGGGCUUUGCUUCCAUCGUUUGGGCUUUGUCUCCGAAAAAAUCCAUUUCUUCCGCUGGCAUUUGUAAUUUUACAAUGUAUCUUUCUGAUGUU